CUUGCUGGUACCACAGAUGCAGCUACUGUGCUGCAACUGUGAUGUCAGGGCAAAGAGGAAAUGGUUACUAAUAUA